UAUAUGUACACAAAUACCCCCUAUGCAUAUAUGGAAAACAGAGGAAGAUUGGAAGCAAUGGAGGAGUAGCGACUGAAGCAUACCCUGGAAUUUGCGCGCUUCGAUUGCUGUCACCAAGCCUCGCAUACCCCUUGUCCAGCCAGGGUACACGCAUUUGUAUACAGGCAAGCAUUUGUGUGCUAUUUGGUCAGCAUGUUAAUACGCUUUUGCCUCAGCAAAGAGAGAGACAGAGGGGGAGCGGGUGGGAGCUGAGUGAGUCUACUCCCUGGCAGUGGAUACAUGCUAGAUGUGUG
rnacentral:lncRNA from 1 species